AGCACCGGCUAACUCCGUGCCAGCAGCCGCGGUAAUACGGAGGGUGCGAGCGUUAAUCGGAAUUACUGGGCGUAAAGCGCAUGCAGGUGGUUUGUUAAGUCAGAUGUGAAAGCCCGGGGCUCAACCUCGGAAUUGCAUUUGAAACUGGCAGACUAGAGUACUGUAGAGGGGGGUAGAAUUUCAGGUGUAGCGGUGAAAUGC
rnacentral:rRNA from 1 species